rnacentral:rRNA from 1 species
UUUAUGGAGAGUUUGAUCCUGGCUCAGGAUGAACGCUGGCGGCGUGCCUAAUACAUGCAAGUCGAGCGAACGGACGAGAAGCUUGCUUCUCUGAUGUUAGCGGCGGACGGGUGAGUAACACGUGGAUAACCUACCUAUAAGACUGGGAUAACUUCGGGAAACCGGAGCUAAUACCGGAUAAUAUUUUGAACCGCAUGGUUCAAAAGUGAAAGACGGUCUUGCUGUCACUUAUAGAUGGAUCCGCGCUGCAUUAGCUAGUUGGUAAGGUAACGGCUUACCAAGGCAACGAUGCAUAGCCGACCUGAGAGGGUGAUCGGCCACACUGGAACUGAGACACGGUCCAGACUCCUACGGGAGGCAGCAGUAGGGAAUCUUCCGCAAUGGGCGAAAGCCUGACGGAGCAACGCCGCGUGAGUGAUGAAGGUCUUCGGAUCGUAAAACUCUGUUAUUAGGGAAGAACAUAUGUGUAAGUAACUGUGCACAUCUUGACGGUACCUAAUCAGAAAGCCACGGCUAACUACGUGCCAGCAGCCGCGGUAAUACGUAGGUGGCAAGCGUUAUCCGGAAUUAUUGGGCGUAAAGCGCGCGUAGGCGGUUUUUUAAGUCUGAUGUGAAAGCCCACGGCUAACCGUGGAGGGUCAUUGGAAACUGGAAAACUUGAGUGCAGAAGAGGAAAGUGGAAUUCCAUGUGUAGCGGUGAAAUGCGCAGAGAUAUGGAGGAACACCAGUGGCGAAGGCGACUUUCUGGUCUGUAACUGACGCUGAUGUGCGAAAGCGUGGGGAUCAAACAGGAUUAGAUACCCUGGUAGUCCACGCCGUAAACGAUGAGUGCUAAGUGUUAGGGGGUUUCCGCCCCUUAGUGCUGCAGCUAACGCAUUAAGCACUCCGCCUGGGGAGUACGACCGCAAGGUUGAAACUCAAAGGAAUUGACGGGGACCGCACAAGCGGUGGAGCAUGUGGUUUAAUUCGAAGCAACGCGAAGAACCUUACCAAAUCUUGACAUCCUUUGACAACUCUAGAGAUAGAGCCUUCCCCUUCGGGGGACAAAGUGACAGGUGGUGCAUGGUUGUCGUCAGCUCGUGUCGUGAGAUGUUGGGUUAAGUCCCGCAACGAGCGCAACCCUUAAGCUUAGUUGCCAUCAUUAAGUUGGGCACUCUAAGUUGACUGCCGGUGACAAACCGGAGGAAGGUGGGGAUGACGUCAAAUCAUCAUGCCCCUUAUGAUUUGGGCUACACACGUGCUACAAUGGACAAUACAAAGGGCAGCGAAACCGUGAGGUCAAGCAAAUCCCAUAAAGUUGUUCUCAGUUCGGAUUGUAGUCUGCAACUCGACUACAUGAAGCUGGAAUCGCUAGUAAUCGUAGAUCAGCAUGCUACGGUGAAUACGUUCCCGGGUCUUGUACACACCGCCCGUCACACCACGAGAGUUUGUAACACCCGAAGCCGGUGGAGUAACCUUUUAGGAGCUAGCCGUCGAAGGUGGGACAAAUGAUUGGGGUGAAGUCGUAACAAGGUAGCCGUAUCGGAAGGUGCGGCUGGAUCACCUCCUUU